rnacentral:rRNA from 1 species
GGCUCAGGAUGAACGCUAGCUACAGGCUUAACACAUGCAAGUCGCGGGGCAGCAUUUCUUAGCUUGCUAGGGAAGAUGGCGACCGGCGCACGGGUNAGUAACGCGUAUCCAACCUUCCCAUGUCCACGGGAUAGCCCGUCGAAAGGCGGAUUAAUACCGUAUGAGGUCACAUGCGGGCAUCUAAGUGUGACGAAAGGUUUGGCGGACAUGGAUGGGGAUGCGUCCGAUUAGCUAGACGGCGGGGCAACGGCCCACCAAGGCGACGAUCAGUAGGGGUUCUGAGAGGAAGGUCCCCCACAUUGGAACUGAGACACGGUCCAAACUCCUACGGGAGGCAGCAGUGAGGAAUAUUGGUCAAUGGGCGAGAGCCUGAACCAGCCAAGUAGCGUGCAGGAUGACGGCCCUAUGGGUUGUAAACUGCUUUUAUAAGGGAAUAAAGUGGGUCUCGUGAGACUUUUUGCAUGUACCUUAUGAAUAAGGACCGGCUAAUUCCGUG